rnacentral:sRNA from 1 species
UUCUUCCCGUCCUUCCCUCCUGCCAUCCCGGGACUGCCCACCCUGCUCCCACACCCCGGCACCUUCGGGUCCCUGCAGGGCGCUUUUCAGCCUAAGGUGUCUGACCCGUACCGGGCGGUGGUCAAGAAGCCGGGGAGGUGGUGUGCCGUGCACGUGCAGAUCGCCUGGCAGAUCUACCGCCACCAGCAGAAGAUAAAGGAGAUGCAGCUGGACCCCCACAAGCUGGAGGUGGGUGCGAAGCUGGACCUGUUCGGCAGACCC